rnacentral:piRNA from 1 species
UCACUCUGGGUUCAGCUUUGCUCUAGGUGU